GGGAAGGGCUGAACAGAAGUUAAGCAACGCAGAUUCCAACAGCUGCUAAUAGUGAAGUAAAGUGGACUGAAUCACCGGCGGCGGAGAUAUGACCGGAGAAGAAGUGUCUGGCCCCGCCGGCCCCAAGCUCGUCCGUCUUAUCUGGUUUGUCGGUGCCGCAGUGAUCUGCACCAUGGGAACCAACAAAUGGCUCGAGUAUGAGAAGAAGACAAUUAUCCAGCAGCAGCAGGGAGCCAAGGCAGUUGCAGAGACACCGAUUUCGUCGGAAUCUGUUGAUGUGCACAAAGCUCUCAAAUAAGUAUCAGAUUAGAUCAACUAAGCAACGGAGAAUCUAGUCGUAAGCGGGUUCAAAGUUAUCAAGCUCAGAAUCAGCAGAACUGAUACUCCAUCCUUCCAUGUUCUUGCAGAGUCGGUAGAGGAGGCUCUACUUGGAAUUACCUCAACUUUUGGGCUUUUGUUAAUUUAAAUUGUUGAAACGAUUAUCUUGCCAAGAUCUCUCUUGGCCAAUUGAAAAAUUCAAGUUCAAAACUGAAGUUUGGAAGUCAGGAGCUUACAUUGUAUGUAAAUAUCAGGUUCAUGUUUUAUCAUUUUUACUGACAAUGCCGAAAAUCUUGAGUUGUCUGAAAAGUGUCUUACUAAGCUGUGCGUACCGGAUUAUUUAUCGUUGUUAAAUAAGUUCACUUCUUGA